UGUGCAAGGACGACUACGCGCUGGGCGAGC
rnacentral:piRNA from 1 species